rnacentral:lncRNA from 1 species
UCCAUGGCCUCUGCAUCAGCUCCUGCUUCUACAUUCCUGCCUUGAGUACUAGCCUUGGCUUCCCUGGAUGAUGGACUACACACUAUAAGCAGAAAUAAACUUUUUCUUCCCCAAGUUGUUUUUGGUUGCAAUCUUUUUCACAGUGAUAGAAACCCCACAACAGACAUUAUUCAUAAAGAUUUUUUUGUGUGUGUUUUUGUUCUCAUUCCAAAUGAAGAUACUUGAGAGUUGGUGUUUAUAGUAAUAACUUUGGGGCGUCAAAUGCCACAUUGUACCUGCAUGUCUAUGUUGUAAAGACUGUUGAUCUGAGUCCAAAGUCACAGACAUCAUAGAGCCCUGCUUCCACUAGUUACUGGAAAAAAAAAUGGAUAUUAAAGCCAUUUCCCCAUGUCAAUUAAGUGGUUCCCUGAGUAAGCCAAGACAUUCACUGAUGUACACUUAAUCACCUAGCUCCAAGCCCUAUCUUGAAAUCCAGCAUCAUCUCCUGAAGUACACUCAGCGUCCUGAAGUGUGUGUAGAGCCACAGUCCGAGGAGGAAGGAAAGUGAUGGGAUACAAUUUCAACUUAAAACGUGCUUGUUUGUUUGUUUGUUUGUUUCAUGCCCAAAAUGAGGCCGGUAGUCAAUUUCGCUUUUCUUUCUUUUGUUAAAAUUUCAGACUUUACAGCUUGAAAUUAAAGGUUCUAUUUUGAGCCUUGUGAUUAGGUCUGGUAAGAUGCCUUAGCGAGCAGAGGUGGCGUGUGCAGGCCUGAUAACAUGUGUUCAAUCAACACACACAGACACAGAAGGAGACAGAGACAGACAGACAGACAGAAAGAGACUUGUAUUUGAAAAUAGUAAGACUUUUUUUCCUCCCUUCUCCCUUUUUUAUUUUUUUCAGAUAUAGAACCCAGGGUAGCCUCCAAUCCAAGCUCACAGCACUCCUCAUGCCUUACUUUUGUCUAAAAUUUUAUGGGCUUAUUCUUGCCUUUGAAAACUUUUGGGGGAAUCAUCUAAUAGCAAUCUAAGAAAUAUGAUGGGAUAGGAUUUGACAAGCUCUACUUGAAAGCAUCCCUCUUGGAUAUCCAAGACUACUUUCACCAUGUUGGUCCCUCGCCUCUUCUAUGAUGUUAACGCUUGAGAGGAGGAACACUGAUGUCAGUUGUGUUGACCUUGAAGCACGUGUAGAAAGCAACUGUCUUCCAGCAUGUUCUGGCUUGCUUUUCUGUGACUUUAAUAAACACUGUGACAAAAAGGAAAACAAAUAAAAAAGAAAAAAACUUGGU